UACGAAGGGGGCUAGCGUUGUUCGGAAUUACUGGGCGUAAAGCGCACGUAGGCGGACUCUUAAGUCAGGGGUGAAAUCCCGGGGCUCAACCUCGGAACUGCCUUUGAUACUGUGAGUCUCGAGACCGGAAGAGGUGAGUGGAAUUCCUAGUGUAGAGGUGAAAUUCGUUGAUAUUAGGAAGAACACCAGUGGCGAAGGCGGCUCACUGGUCCGGUUCUGACGCUGAGGUGCGAAAGCUAGGGGAGCGAAAGGG
rnacentral:rRNA from 1 species